CCUUUCCAGAGAAAUCUGAAAAGCAGCCUUGGUGGGCUGGCUUGGCUAGGUCUGGUGCUGGGUCCUUUGCUCCUUAACUGCCUGGCUGGUGGGACAGGGCUGCCUACUCUCUAAAGUCCAGCCAGGCAGAGACAAAGUUCCCCACCGCUUUCUGCGAGCUCCCAUCAGCUCCUGCUCCCGCCUUCCUCCACAUUCCUGCGCUGAACUUGGCGGAGUCCAGCGGCUGGCGUACCUUCCCUGGGCUCCUCCGCUUCGGAGAGCAUGCUGUCGGGGUGCACAGCCACAGGCGCCACCGCCACGGACAUGGACGUGAGGCUGCGAGGCUCCUAGACGAGUGAGAUGUGCGCCGGCGGGCGGGACGCGGUGGGAGGAAGCCUCUGAGAUCAGAACCUCCCGGGGCGGGCGAGCGAGCGGCUGCGGGAGGGAUUUUCAGGGGAAAGUUCCGCAGGAGUGACGAAUCGAAUCGCGCGGGGCUGGGCUGCAGGAGUCCGCCCCCGAGGGGCCACUGCGGGUGGAGGCGACCAGGCAGGUGGGGCCCAGUGCAGGAAAGGUGCCCUGGACAGAACGAAUGGGGGCAGACGUGCAGGGGGACAAGCACUCACUACAUCUGGGGAGUGACGUUUUUGACACUCUCGGUCUUGGGUUUUUACAUGCCCCAAUUCUUGAAAACUUUUCGGACUGUUAUUUUUCAGGCUAGUGAUACGGAUGCUGUGCUAGCCGCGUUUAGAAGGGGUCCUGUUCACAAAGCAAAACUUCACCAGCGCCAGGACCGGCCUCUAAGGAAAGUAGGGCAGGAUAGGCAGGGGGCCCUUAUGCACGGCUGGCUCUCUCUAACCAAGCUGCUAGGAGCUAAAGGCUUCUCAGGCUUUGGGAAAUGCUGACAGGCAGGAGAUAAAAGGGCAAAGGGCAGCCAUCCUGGCCUCCUCUCCCCUCCCCUCCCUUCCCCUCCCCACCUGGCUUCCACCACUGGCUCAGAGGAAGUCAUCUUAACUCUGGGGUGGCUACACCAGCUCCCACCAGCCUACCUGUCUUACAGAGAUUGUAUUUUUUACAGGGCCUUGUUUUAGCAUCAACCCUAGAGUGAGGGGCUCCAAGUAAAAUACCUGAAAGGAAAACAUCCAAUGGAAAGAAAUCUCUGGCUGGAGAGUGUUACAUUCUCCUAUAACUGAGAAAGGUUAGAGUCUUUAAGAAAUGUAUUUUCCAGCUACCUUUCUUUUUCUUAUAGCAUUUUUAUAUGGAAAGGAGGGCGGAGUCCAGGCCUUGUGGUAAAUUUAGUGAAAGGACUAUGUAAACUGACCAGGCUUUUUUGAAUUGUAGUUUGGAUUUAAUUCUGCUAUUUAUUAUUUAUAGGACCUUAAGAAAAAAAAAACUCAAAUAUCCAUCUACUUAUCUAUAAAAUGAAGACAAAAGCAGUAUGUGAUUCACAGAUUUGUCUGGUUAUUACAGAUGGCACUAUAAACACAGUGAUUUGAAACUGUAAGUUCUACACACAGGUUGUCACUAACUAUUGCACCUUAUUACAAUAAACUUUGUAAAGGAUACUCUUGCCUUUUCUUUGCCAAUCAGUUUGCCAUCAGUAUCGAAGCUAUUCACCGGCAAGGGGGAUGCCAUAGAUAGAGCUCUAUGGUCUGAUAUUAAAUCAGUCGCUACUGCUGAGUGAUUCUAACAUGCUUGAGACCCUACCAGAAUUUUAUCUCAAAUUUAUUGAAAGGGCAAGGUGAACCAAGACAUAAUAGCCAGAGGGAAGAAAGAAACAUCUGGAAAAGAUCAGUGCUGUAGAGCCUACGGGAACUGAGCAUGGCCGGAAAAGAAUAACCGGCUAUACCCUUCUGAAAAUGACGGUUAACCUUGCUCUCCUGUGCCCUACAUCCUAGUGCUGCUGAGAUAGACAAUCUAUGCUCAGUACUCUUUGUAUUCAUGGCGGACACAAAGGAUGCCGAUGCUUCUGAAACAAAAGAAACGCCCCCUUGCUGUCUGUCUUUGCCUGUCCUUCGGAGCAAUCCUUCUGCCCCUCCCUACCCGACAGCAUCCGGCUUUGCCUUCCCUCUUCCGCUGGCCAGAUGUCCACAGAUGUCCACCUGGGCCUCGGAGGAACCUCGCCACAGCUGUUUGCUACACAAAUGAGAUGCCUUCGGCGGAUCUAGAGCUGGAGUGAAGAAGCAGCACCUUUUGAAGCUACAUCCUCUUUUGGCCUCU
rnacentral:lncRNA from 1 species